ensembl:lncRNA
GGUCAGGAUUAUUUGGGUUUGUUUGACAGCUACGUAAUGUUGUUCCAGGCGGCAGCGUUACGGUUGCCAUGGUUACAGGGUGACGCGCUCUCUCUCUGCGUGUUUCCUGGGUGAGAGAGCGCUUUUUUGUUGUUGUUGUUGUGCUAAGCUAAAAGGCAGAAUGCUACAGGCAUAGCGCUAAAGAAUGUAGCCUGAUGGGCAGUGUAGUCCGUGCUGCAGGGAGAAUGGACUACCAUACCCGUUAUGUGUCUGUGAGCGAGGGAGGGAGAGAAAGGAAAGUCCGAGCUGUCACGGAGCAAAAACGGGAGCUGGAAGCAUGUAAAUAUAAUAAUAACCACUGCAGCCAAGAAGAGUGCCUGACGAGCCCAUUUAAACUUCCUCUAGAUCCGCCCCUGGACCUGCUGCCUCACAGAUUACACCUCAGGCUCAUCUGUCAGUCUCCCCACACUGGACCAGCUCACUGAUACCUGAGGAAGCAGGAGUCUCAUCCUCUUCCUCAAACCUUCUCACAGCCAUCACUUCAUCAAUGUUCGCCAACCGUGCAAACGGGCGCGCAGCAACCGGUAUGGCGCCAAAGUACUUACCCCCGACAGAGCCUGUCCCCCUGUCCCAAUCAUGGACAAACAGUAUUCCCACAUUCUUGAAAUGUGUUUUACAAGAAUAAAACAGACGUUUUCUCCAGUG